rnacentral:rRNA from 1 species
ACGAACCGUGCGAACGUUGUUCGGAUUCACUGGGCUUAAAGGGCGCGUAGGCGGGCGGUCAAGUCCGGGGUGAAAGCUUUCGGCUCAACCGGAAAAGGGCCUUGGAUACUGGCCGCCUAGAGGGAGGUAGGGGCAGGUGGAACUUCCGGUGGAGCGGUGAAAUGCGUAGAUAUCGGAAGGAACGCCGGUGGCGAAAGCGGCCUGCUGGAUCUCUACUGACGCUGAGGCGCGAAAGCUAGGGGAGCAAACG